UACGUAGGGUGCGAGCGUUGUCCGGAAUUAUUGGGCGUAAAGGGCUCGCAGGCGGUUUGUCGCGUCGGGAGUGAAAACCUUGGGCUUAACUCAGGGCUUGCUUUCGAUACGGGCAGACUAGAGGUAUGCAGGGGAGAACGGAAUUCCUGGUGUAGCGGUGAAAUGCGCAGAUAUCAGGAGGAACACCGGUGGCGAAGGCGGUUCUCUGGGCAUUACCUGACGCUGAGGAGCGAAAGUGUGGGGAGCGAACAGG
rnacentral:rRNA from 1 species